AGAAGAAUUAACUAAGAUUCCCUUAGUAAUGGCGAAUGAACCGGGAAAAGCUCAAAUUUAAAAUCAUAUACCAAUAUGAAUUGUAGUUUAAGAAUGUUUAAUUACGAGUUAUCGAUACAUUAAUUUAACUGGAAAGUUAAAACAUAGAGGGUUAAAUUCCCGUAUAUAUGUAUUUAAAUAACUUUAUAAUUUUUCAUUUAAGAGUCAGAUUGUUUGGGAUUACAGUCUAAAUUAGGAGGUAAAUUUCUUUUAAAGCUAAAUAUUAGCGAGAGACCGAUAGCGAACAAGUACCGUAAGGGAAAGAUGAAAUAGAACCUUGUAAAGGGGUUUAAACAGAAAGUGAAAUCGUUAAGAGGGAAACAUUUAAAACUUGAAAUUGAUAACUAAAUAGAAGUAUACUUGUAUAUUUUGUUUUAGUUGUCUAUAAUAUCAAUAGUUAUUAUUGUCGUUUAAGAAUUGUAAGUACAAAAAUAUAAUGAAUCUUCGGAUUUGUUAAUAAAAGUAUUUAUGUAUUAAAUGAUAGUGAUAAUACCAAUCAUUUUCUUCGGACAUCUUUUAGAUCUUUACUAUUAAGCAAUAAUUUUUUUAAAAUUAAUGUUUAAAUAGUUUAGAUACAGGUGCUAUGAUAUAAAUAUUGAUAAUAGAGGUUUAAAUGACCCGUCUUGAAACACGGACCAAGGAGUCUAACAUAUCGGCGAGUACUAUAGUUUUAAACUAUAAUGCGAAAUGAAAGUAAAUUCAAGGUAGGAAUUUUUAUUAAUGCACUAUCGACCGAUUUCAUCUGGAUUCUUCUAGGAAAUUUGAGUUAGAGCAGAUAUGUUGGGACCCGAAAGAUGGUGAACUAUGCUUGAAUAGGGUGAAGCCAGAGGAAACUCUGGUGGAAGCUCGUAGCGAUUCUGACGUGCAAAUCGAUCGUAAAAUUUGGGUAUAGGGGCGAAAGACUAAUCGAACCAU
rnacentral:rRNA from 2 species